UGAGGAAUAUUGGUCAAUGGACGAAAGUCUGAACCAGCCAUGCCGCGUGAAGGAAUAAGGCCCUAUGGGUCGUAAACUUCUUUUGUAUGUGAGCAAUAAGGUCCACGUGUGGACCGAUGAGAGUAGCAUACGAAUAAGCAUCGGCUAACUCCGUGCCAGCAGCCGCGGUAAUACGGAAGGUCCAGGCGUUAUCCGGAUUUAUUGGGUUUAAAGGGAGCGUAGGCCGUUUUUAAGCGUGUUGUGAAAUACUGUCGCUCAACGACAGAGGUGCAGCGCGAACUGGAGGACUUGAGUGCGCGGAAUGUAGGCGGAAUUCGUCGUGUAGCGGUGAAAUGCUUAGAUAUGACGAAGAACUCCGAUUGCGAAGGCAGCUUACAGUAGCGUAACUGACGCUGAAGCUCGAAAGUGCGGGUAUCGAACAGGAUUAGAUACCCUGGGUAGU
rnacentral:rRNA from 1 species